rnacentral:rRNA from 3 species
GUGUGACCCCAGGAUGGGCGGGAUGACCCGCCGAGUUUAAGCAUAUCAAUAAGCGGAGGAGAAGAAACUUACGAGGAUUCCCCUA